UACGAAGGGGGCUAGCGUUGCUCGGAAUCACUGGGCGUAAAGCGCACGUAGGCGGAUUGCUAAGUCGGGGGUGAAAUCCUGGAGCUCAACUCCAGAACUGCCUUUGAUACUGGCAACCUUGAGUCCGGGAGAGGUGAGUGGAACUGCGAGUGUAGAGGUGAAAUUCGUAGAUAUUCGCAAGAACACCAGUGGCGAAGGCGGCUCACUGGCCCGGUACUGACGCUGAGGUGCGAAAGCGUGGGGAGCAAACAGG
rnacentral:rRNA from 1 species